rnacentral:rRNA from 2 species
GGGUUGUGAGGUUAAGCGACUAAGCGUACACGGUGGAUGCCCUGGCAGUCAGAGGCGAUGAAGGACGUGCUAAUCUGCGAAAAGCGUCGGUAAGGUGAUAUGAACCGUUAUAACCGGCGAUGUCCGAAUGGGGAAACCCAGUGUGAUUCGUCACACUAUCGUUAACUGAAUACAUAGGUUAACGAGGCGAACCGGGGGAACUGAAACAUCUAAGUACCCCGAGGAAAAGAAAUCAACCGAGAUUCCCCCAGUAGCGGCGAGCGAACGGGGAGCAGCCCAGAGUCUGAAUCAGCUUGUGUGUUAGUGGAACGGUCUGGAAAGUCCGACGGUACAGGGUGAUAGUCCCGUACACCAAAAUGCACAGGUUGUGAACUCGAAGAGUAGGGCGGGACACGUGGUAUCCUGUCUGAAUAUGGGGGGACCAUCCUCCAAGGCUAAAUACUCCUGACUGACCGAUAGUGAACCAGUACCGUGAGGGAAAGGCGAAAAGAACCCCGGCGAGGGGAGUGAAAAAGAACCUGAAACCGUGUACGUACAAGCAGUGGGAGCACCUUCGGGUGUGACUGCGUACCUUUUGUAUAAUGGGUCAGCGACUUAUAUUCUGUAGCAAGGUUAACCGUAUAGGGGAGCCGCAGGGAAACCGAGUCUUAACUGGGCGUUAAGUUGCAGGGUAUAGACCCGAAACCCGGUGAUCUAGCCAUGGGCAGGUUGAAGGUUGGGUAACACUAACUGGAGGACCGAACCGACUAAUGUUGAAAAAUUAGCGGAUGACUUGUGGCUGGGGGUGAAAGGCCAAUCAAACCGGGAGAUAGCUGGUUCUCCCCGAAAGCUAUUUAGGUAGCGCCUCGUGAACUCAUCUUCGGGGGUAGAGCACUGUUUCGGCUAGGGGGUCAUCCCGACUUACCAACCCGAUGCAAACUACGAAUACCGAAGAAUGUUAUCACGGGAGACACACGGCGGGUGCUAACGUCCGUCGUGAAGAGGGAAACAACCCAGACCGCCAGCUAAGGUCCCAAAGUCAUGGUUAAGUGGGAAACGAUGUGGGAAGGCACAGACAGCCAGGAUGUUGGCUUAGAAGCAGCCAUCAUUUAAAGAAAGCGUAAUAGCUCACUGGUCGAGUCGGCCUGCGCGGAAGAUGUAACGGGGCUAAACCAUGCACCGAAGCUGCGGCAGCGACACUAUGUGUUGUUGGGUAGGGGAGCGUUCUGUAAGCCUGCGAAGGUGACCUGUGAGGGUUGCUGGAGGUAUCAGAAGUGCGAAUGCUGACAUAAGUAACGAUAAAGCGGGUGAAAAGCCCGCUCGCCGGAAGACCAAGGGUUCCUGUCCAACGUUAAUCGGGGCAGGGUGAGUCGACCCCUAAGGCGAGGCCGAAAGGCGUAGUCGAUGGGAAACAGGUUAAUAUUCCUGUACUUGGUGUUACUGCGAAGGGGGGACGGAGAAGGCUAUGUUAGCCGGGCGACGGUUGUCCCGGUUUAAGCAUGUAGGCUGAUUGUCCAGGCAAAUCCGGAUAAUCAAGGCUGAGGUGUGAUGACGAGGCACUACGGUGCUGAAGUAACAAAUGCCCUGCUUCCAGGAAAAGCCUCUAAGCAUCAGGUAACAUCAAAUCGUACCCCAAACCGACACAGGUGGUCAGGUAGAGAAUACCAAGGCGCUUGAGAGAACUCGGGUGAAGGAACUAGGCAAAAUGGUGCCGUAACUUCGGGAGAAGGCACGCUGGUGUGUAGGUGAAGUCCCUGCGGAUGGAGCUGAGACCAGUCGAAGAUACCAGCUGGCUGCAACUGUUUAUUAAAAACACAGCACUGUGCAAACACGAAAGUGGACGUAUACGGUGUGACGCCUGCCCGGUGCCGGAAGGUUAAUUGAUGGGGUUAUCCGUAAGGAGAAGCUCUUGAUCGAAGCCCCGGUAAACGGCGGCCGUAACUAUAACGGUCCUAAGGUAGCGAAAUUCCUUGUCGGGUAAGUUCCGACCUGCACGAAUGGCGUAAUGAUGGCCAGGCUGUCUCCACCCGAGACUCAGUGAAAUUGAACUCGCUGUGAAGAUGCAGUGUACCCGCGGCAAGACGGAAAGACCCCGUGAACCUUUACUAUAGCUUGACACUGAACAUUGAGCCUUGAUGUGUAGGAUAGGUGGGAGGCUUUGAAGCGUGGACGCCAGUCUGCGUGGAGCCAACCUUGAAAUACCACCCUUUAAUGUUUGAUGUUCUAACGUUGGCCCCUUACCGGGGUUGCGGACAGUGUCUGGUGGGUAGUUUGACUGGGGCGGUCUCCUCCCAAAGCGUAACGGAGGAGCACGAAGGUUAGCUAAUCCUGGUCGGACAUCAGGAGGUUAGUGCAAUGGCAUAAGCUAGCUUGACUGCGAGCGUGACGGCGCGAGCAGGUGCGAAAGCAGGUCAUAGUGAUCCGGUGGUUCUGAAUGGAAGGGCCAUCGCUCAACGGAUAAAAGGUACUCCGGGGAUAACAGGCUGAUACCGCCCAAGAGUUCAUAUCGACGGCGGUGUUUGGCACCUCGAUGUCGGCUCAUCACAUCCUGGGGCUGAAGUAGGUCCCAAGGGUAUGGCUGUUCGCCAUUUAAAGUGGUACGCGAGCUGGGUUUAGAACGUCGUGAGACAGUUCGGUCCCUAUCUGCCGUGGGCGCUGGAGAAUUGAGGGGGGCUGCUCCUAGUACGAGAGGACCGGAGUGGACGCAUCACUGGUGUUCGGGUUGUCAUGCCAAUGGCACUGCCCGGUAGCUAAAUGCGGAAGAGAUAAGUGCUGAAAGCAUCUAAGCACGAAACUUGCCCCGAGAUGAGUUCUCCCUGAGACUUUAAGUCUCCUGAAGGAACGUUGAAGACGACGACGUUGAUAGGCCGGGUGUGUAAGCGCAACGAUGCGUUGAGCUAACCGGUACUAAUGAACCGUGAGGCUUAACCUUACAACGCCGAAG